rnacentral:lncRNA from 1 species
GCCACUACACAACAUUGAUCAAGGCCUAGGCUUGUCAGACCAAGGUGUCGGAUGGCCUUGGAUCUGCCACAUUGAUGAAUUGUGUGGCGAUGGGCAUGCAAACGGUGCCACCUUGAUUGUGGUGAGAAAAUUUCUGGUGGGAGGUUGCAGAGUCAUGCACUCUUGUUCCUGCGAUGCUCUUAUUCCUUUAUAAUUGGGCUAGUGCGCUUCUUCUAAUAC